rnacentral:rRNA from 1 species
CUUUAUCGGAGAGUUUGAUCCUGGCUCAGGACGAACGCUGGCGGCGUGCCUAAUACAUGCAAGUCGAGCGGACAGAUGGGAGCUUGCUCCCUGAUGUUAGCGGCGGACGGGUGAGUAACACGUGGGUAACCUGCCUGUAAGACUGGGAUAACUCCGGGAAACCGGGGCUAAUACCGGAUGGUUGUUUGAACCGCAUGAUUCAGACAUAAAAGGUGGCUUCGGCUAC